CAGCAGCCACGGUAAAACGAAGGGUGCAAGCGUUACUCGGAAUUACUGGGCGUAAAGCGUGCGUAGGUGGUGGUUUAAGUCCGUUGUGAAAGCCCUGGGCUCAACCUGGGAAUUGCAGUGGAUACUGGGUCACUAGAGUGUGGUAGAGGAUAGUGGAAUUUCCGGUGUAGCAGUGAAAUGCGUAGAGAUCGGAAGGAACAUCUGUGGCGAAGGCGACUAUCUGGGCCAACACUGACACUGAGGCACGAAAGCGUGGGGAGCAAACAGGAUUAGAUACCCCAGUAGUCCCUGUCUCUUAUAC
rnacentral:rRNA from 1 species